rnacentral:rRNA from 1 species
CCUACGGGGGGCAGCAGUGGGGGAUAUUGCACAAUGGGGGAAACCCUGAUGCAGCGACGCCGCGUGGGCGAAGAAGUAUUUCGGUAUGUAAAGCCCUAUCAGCAGGGAAGAAGAAAUGACGGUACCUGAGUAAGAAGCACCGGCUAAAUACGUGCCAGCAGCCGCGGUAAUACGUAGGGUGCAAGCGUUAUCCGGAUUUACAGGGUGUAAUGGGAGGGCAGGCGGGACGGCAAGCCUGGUGUGAAAGCCCGGGGCCCAACCGCGGGACUGCAGUGGGAACUACCGGGCUGGAGUGCCGGAGAGGUAGGCGGAAUUCCUAGUGUAGCGGUGAAAUGCGUAGAUAUUAGGAGGAACACCAGUGGCGAAGGCGGCCUACUGGACGGUGACUGACGCUGAGGCUCGAAAGCGUGGGGAGCAAACAGGAUUAGAUACCCGAGUAGUC